CUCAAACAUGAUGCCGGCUCUUUAUACAUUGUUAAUAUAAAGUACGUAUUGUACAAACACAACAAGUGCCUACUGAAUAAGUGACUUUUCAGUCCCGAGUUCACGUCCCAAUUAAAAUUAAGAGAAUAAAUAAAUAAAUAAUAGAGAAAAAGGGCAACAUAAAGCAAUUAGAAAGAAAGGAAUACUUGAAUAGCAGUGGGUUUAUUCUAUUGAUGGAGAUUAUCCUAGUAGACAACCUAAUUGUCUUAAUAUUAAUAACCACUAAGGUGCAACUUGUUUUCCUCUCUUUCCCUCUUCUGAGACCCAAAACGCACCAAAUUAUACAUGUGCUAAGAAUGAUACUGAGCAAACUCAUAUCAUAAAUAUCUCCACAAAAUUAGGUACCAGUCUGGUAUCUAUAUUCAUGGGAAGGUACUGAAGCCAGAAACAACUAGCCCUGGAAGACGUCCUAAUGUAUGACUAAUUACCGCAUAAAAUUUAAGUUUUAAAAUCUCAUCAAGAUUUCUGUCUGCUUGAACUUGUUUUUUGUACUACUGCAUUUGCUGCACUGCAUGUUCUCCGAAAAAAUGUUGGUCUUAACCAACUUGAAGAGCCAUUAUUUGUUUCCUCUAGAGCACGGAUACCAUCUGAAAUCCCAGGAUUGCUUGAAACCCCGACUGCUGCUGAAAUCCCAUUACUCUGCUGCAGGGUUACCGAGGCAGCUCUGUGGAGGGGUCUUUGAACCUAAAAAAGUUCAAGGGAAUAAGAGCUUAUUACAAUAAGAAAACUUGUAGGUAAGAACAUCAGGUAAAAGUGCUAUCUUCUAGUCUACAAAUUUACAGUAAGGUUCCUAAAGCAAAGAAGCCCUUAGCAUGAAUUAAAAAUCACUAAGCACAAUUCUUUAAAUUUCAGACGUAGAAGAGCAAGGGGAAGAGGUGAACACAAUAAACAUGAUCAAUCAUCUCUCACUGAUGCCCACAGAAAAUAUUGAUUGCAUAUGAGCCCAAGUAAAAGAAUGAGAUUAAAUUUUCUGGAAGUCAACAAACCUCCAGAGAUCCACUGGAAACAGAUGGAGAAGUUGGUUCACUUGAGGGAGGCAGCAAAGAGCAGCCCAUCUGUGGAAGUACACACACACACUAGUGAGAAUAAUAAUAGUUAGCAAACUACAUUAAGAACAAAGCAAGCACUGUGGUCAUGACAUUUUAAGCUUAUAGCCAAUGAAAUGGUAUAACAGAAUAUAUUAAUUGGGCUAGGCAUGCCAAGUGACAAAUGCAUCCAGUUUCAUAUUCCAAAUUCCCAGUUCCAAAUAGACCACGUGACCAAGCAAAAAGACCAACAAAUAAUAAAAAAUUAUCUAAUUUUUAAAAAUAUAGAUAUCCCAUGCCUCCAACCCAAACCAACAGCAGUUAUUACACAUCAUAAUUUGGAAAUGAAAUAUUACCUUUGAUGAGAAUGUAAUUCGUGAACUGGAUGAUGAGGCCUACAGAAUUUGGGAACACAAUUAAUGGAAGAAUCUGAUAGACUACAAGCAAAAAAGAGAAUCUAUUCAUAGAAGUUGUAACCAAGCUUAAAAAAGAUAUGAGAAGAAAUUUUCUUGAUUGACUUGGGGUCAUACAAAGCAAUGCAAGUGAUUGAUAAACCAAAAUCUCAGUCUCACAAAGCAGACAUGAAAAACAAAUCAAAUUUGGUUCAUUGCAGACAUGCAAGAGUGAUAUUAUUGAAUAACAAAAAGCUGGGUACAUGCCUGAGUAUUCUCUUCAAGUAAGUUAUUUUCCAAAUUGUAGGCAUAGUCAACCAACUUCUUUACUCCAAGGUUUGUCAUUUCCUGCUUCCCUUCUAUUCUACUGAUUUUUAGUUCCUACAAAUUAGGAAAAGAAACAAAAUAAAAUAAGUCUUCUAUUCACAUCCGGAAAAGAGUCCAUAAAAUUGAAGGGAGAAAUUGUCAUCUUCAAGAUUGUUUACCAAUGUUUCAACAGCAUCACGAACGUAUCGAACGUCAUGACCAAUCCUUUCCGAAUCUUCCAACAGUUCAGUAACCUUUUCUUGUGUAUUAGCAGUAAGUACAGCAACCUCAUUCAAAUUAGAAUCCACGCGAUCAAUAUUUGAAGAUAAUUGCCUCCUGGUACUCUAUAUAUUAAAAAAAUAAUUUGUUCAUAAAAAAAGUUAUAGCUAAGAAACCUCUUUAUUUUAAAUGCCAGAAGCAACCAAUCAAACAAAUGUUUCUGAAGUCAACAUGUUUAAUAUCACUAAUCUGUAACAUAGGAUUGUAAGCAAAAUUGAACUUGUGAGUGAAAAGAAUAGAGGCUAAAAUAUAGUGGGUAGGAAUCCUACGAUACUAGAAAGAUAAGAGAGAGAAUCGCAAAAGAGAUGGAGAUGACGCAGGGCGCAGCUGUGUGUAGCAAGGCACAUGAUUCAAGUGUAAGCUCUUCCUUAAAUAGCGAGGAAAAUACAAAAUUCAAUAUAAAUAUAAAAACCCUUACUCUGAUUGAUGCAUAAACAUUUUCAAGUUGUUGGGCUAUAGAAGUGCAAGCAUCGGAUAAACCUCGUCUUGUUGCAAACAUCAUGUCUGGAAGUUUCCAGCCCUGAAAUUAUAAAACGAUUCAAAACAUCAGCCAACAUCAAAGAACAUUAUGCAUCUGAAACACACCAUUCAAAUAAAAGAUUAGGAUUUCACAGUCAAUCUUAAUUGAUGAAUUUGCUUAUACAACAGUUCAAACCUCUCAAAAAAUUUCAUGAUCUUGACAACAUGGUUACCACCCUAAAGUACCCAUAUCAGGCAUGGAUAUUUUGACAUGGAUAGUUCUAAUUAGCAGCAAGAUCUAUGAAAAUAUUGGUCAACAGGCGAGUUUGACCAUAAACACAUACACAUCUAAGAUGCUCAUACCAAACUGUAACAUAGCUUGGGAUUUAAUGAGCAAAAUCUUUGUGGUUAUUGCACUUCAUAAUUCAUAUGAUGUUCCAGAAAAAUAAAGAGAGUUGGUUGCCAAAGCAGCCAAAUUAAAAAACAAGCCACCUUACCAUAAGCUUCAGCAGAGAGAACAAAUUGAAAAGCAACUGACUGUUGUGAUUUAUUCAUGCAUGCGAUGACCAUACCAACCUAACUCCAUAUGCUGUGCCAAUAUCAAACAGGUAUAUUUUUGUAGCAAACUAGUUGCCAUAGAUAGGACAGAAUGGAAGGGGGAAGGAACUAUGUUGCCAAUUCCCAAUUAACACAAGAUUAAGAUUUAGUGAAAUUCAGUAAGAUGCCUUGGAUUGUAUGCAUUCGUUGUUGUAUUUAGUUUCUUAUCAAUUAUUCCACAAAAACUUGUAGAAACAAGAACAUCACCUUCCACCAAACAUAGCCAUAUCCAAAUACACCCACGACAACAAUUAUACCAUAUUUACUUGCACCUGCACCUGCACAUUAUGAAUACAUCUAAGAACAGCCCAGAGAAAGUGCAAAGUCAAAGGUCAAUAUAUCACCAAGAAACUUCAACAAAGAUAAUAGAGAGUUGUUCCGUAGUUAGAUAAUGAAAUUCAAGAGCAGCAGUAAGAAAGACACCCUAAGACUUCUCAAGAAAUGGUAUGUCAUGGAAUUUUUCUCCUUUUUUUUUGACAUUUUUCAAAAUAUUACAAACUCAAACCUGUCCCGCUUGCAGUUACAAUUGUAACUGAUCUGUUUGAUGCUAACAUUUGCAGCUCCUGCCGAAGACUGUCAACCUGAGCCAUCAAAGAAUCAUUAUGUUGCUUGCCAAUUGAUGAGGUAGAAUCAUCUUGUCUAAUUUGCUUAAAAGCAAUCUUGAAUGCACCUGAAACCAAAUCAGACACAUUUGGCAAGCGCCCCUCUUUUGCAAGAACUGAGCCAAUAAUACCUGCACCAACAAGGAUGGUUAACUUGCCGAGGGAUAGAGCCAUGGCCAGUGAUUCUUCUUGUAAGAAAAUCGAUUGAUAAAAUAUCAAUUAUAUCUAUAGCCCAUAAAAAUCACUCCACAUCGCAGCUAUUAAGCAUCAGCCAAGUCUCUAAAGAGGAAAUUGGUGAAGAAAAGGAUUCU
rnacentral:misc_RNA from 1 species